ensembl:lncRNA
CAAACCCACCUGCGAUGGUCCUGGCUGUGUGAUCCAAUCUCCUGGGCCACGGAUGGCUACAUCCAGGCUGGAGGUCAAGUAAACCUUUGGGAAAAGGGCGAUGAGUCCUCACUGAUGGGCUGCAUGUGCCUGGGAAAGCUGCAUCUUUCUAGCCUCUUCAGAGGGCAUGCAAAAUUGCCUCUGCUCUCACAAGCAUCCUCCCCAUGCUGCUGCUUGGGCUCUCCUUCAGCCCGGACUGGUGGAGCUUCUUAAGCAUUGCUGGGGCUGCAGGGGGACCUGGGGGGCUGGGUCUGUGGUCCCUCGUGGGGGUCUUAGGAUGGAAGUGAAGCAGCAGGUGGCUUUUCUCGCUCAGGGCAUGAUGCCCCAUGAAGAGCAGAGGAAGGUGUGAACCAGCAGUUUGGCCUCAUGGAAACGGAAACCGGAGAGGGGAGAUUUAUCCACGGGCAUUAUGUGUGGUCUCUACAGAAAGCUGGUAAUUCAGAGAGGUCAUGCAUUUAGCAGGAGGGAUGUUUGGCUGGUGGCUGGAGAAUAUUCUGUAUAUUCUGUUUUUUGUAUACCUGUUAGCACAGCACAGGAACUGGGCCUGGCCAGCCCUCCUGCACCCCUGGUGUUGGACCCCAGAAGAGCAUCACGUACUCCCAGAUGUUAUGCAAGGAACAAGGUGGAAAGCUUUGGUCUUGUUCAGUUAGUUCUUCAGCUGUUUUUCUGCCACAGGGCACCAGCAUUAGCUCCUCCAUCAGACCCUGAGAAAGCAGGAGAGGGCCUGCCAAAGUGCCUAUGUCAGGAGGAUGCUCCACAAGGUCCCUUUUUGCUGGCUAUCCUUCCCACGUGGCUGUUCCCAGCUUCUCUCUGGAGUGAGAACAAAAAGAAAGAUCUCAUGGAGAGGACUGUUUAAUAGGAGGUGUCUGAAAUUCAGCUUUGGCCAAGAAUCAUCUCCAACAGCAUUGCUUUUCUACUGACCAGCUCCCAUUGAAGAUCACGCACCACUGACGAUUGCACACCACUGAUGAUCAUGCAUCUUGAGCAACAAAAGGAAACACUUCGUUCUCCAACCAGGUAUCUUGCAAGCAGAUGUCAGGUGUCUCACACACAGAUCAAGGACUUGGGAUGCAGUUUUAUUCCCAUGUAAAAACACAUUCCCUUGAGCUGCCAAAUUUGCUCUGAAGGAUCCAGAUGAAUUCCUGGUUCCCUGGGUGCACUGCAUACUAACCUGAGAAGACAUUCCAGCUCCUGCCACUCUCUGCCCAUGUCUGUUCCCCCCUGCAGAUCCCUGUAACUAACCCCAUCAACACCAGCAGCACUGGGUCACCUCUGCUGUGUGCCAGUUUGGAUGCCCACUGUCUUGUCUUGUCUUAUUGUGAAUGACUUAUUUUGGAUGUGCCCCACUGUGAGAUUUCCACUCCAGACAUGUUACUGGCUCUGAACCUUGCUGGAUAGGCUCUUUGGUCUUAGGUUACUCAUAAAACAUCUUUCUUAUAAAGUUUCUGUUUGAAAAUAUCUUUCUGUUCUGUUUCAUCUGCAUGGGAAGUACAGCAUUUAAAUUGCUGGGAUGUAGAUUCAUUUAACCUCUGUGGCCUAAAUUAGCCAAAAGUAAUUAAACACAGCAGGUUUUCAGAAA